rnacentral:rRNA from 1 species
UCAUCAACGUGCUCGAGCGCACUUUCUUCAAAGUCUGCGCGACUGGACCACCCCCUCCAGUCGACAUUCUUGAAGGGACGACGGAUUCAUGAUGGGAUCAUGGCCCUUCACGAGAUUGUCCAUGAGGUGCGGACACACGACCAUAAGGGCGUCAUCCUCAAGCUGGAUUUCCAGAAAGCCUAUGAUCGGUUGGAUUGGAACUUCUUGCGAUUAGUUUAG